rnacentral:rRNA from 1 species
UACGUAGGGACCGAGCGUUGUCCGGAUUCAUUGGGCGUAAAGAGCUCGUAGGCGGCCACUCAAGUCGAAUGUGAAACCUCGAGGCUUAACCUCGAGCCUGCAUUCGAUACUGGGCGGCUAGAGUCUGGUAGGGGGAUCUGGAAUUCCUGGUGUAGCGGUGGAAUGCGCAGAUAUCAGGAGGAACACCUAUGGCGAAGGCAGCUCUCUGGGACGGUACUGACGCUGAGACGCGAAAGCGUGGGGAGCGAACAGG